CUGAGCCAUUUCUCCAGCCCCCAUAAUUCUAUUUCUAAAGUGUCCUUUUCUUUCGAAAUAUACUUACAUAAAGUGUGGCCUUAACCAAAAAUUUUAAAUCUUGUUCUUCAGCAUUAGUUAUAUUCAAUUACUAUUGUCUUACAUUCAUGAUGUUCUAUCGUUAUUCUUCUGUUAUUCUUCUCUCAUUCAUUACAUCUCAAUUCCCUCCACCAAUUCCAUGCAGCUCUCCCAAUUAUCUCUCCUCUCACCCAGAUCCACACCUUUUCCCAUUAUGUUCAAAAGAGAGAGGGGGAGGAAAGGGACAGGGUAUAGGGAAAGGGGAAAGGGAAAGGGUGAGAGAGGUUACACAAGGAUGUGUCAACCAAACACCAUAAGUUAGCAUCAAAAGUUACGGUAAGACAAAACUGCUUAUUAAGACUGGCCGAAGAAACCAUCAGAGAUUUAAUUACUUCUGGAUGAAGUAAUUGAAAGUAUGCAUUAGGAUGGAUGGUAUAUUUACUUGUUAAAAAUUAUUUUUAAAACUCAUUUGUAAAUUAUUCUGAUGAGUGGAUUUAGAACCACAGCAAUUCGUAAAAGAUGCUGUCUAGAAAAUCCGACUGAUAUAAAACCACAUUAAAGCUGAGAAAGUCCUUUUCCUUUCUGUAUCCUCAACAACAGCAUGUAUCCGAUUGCAGCAAACUGAUCCAGUAAAUAGAAGGUCUACAGGAAAUGAGUUAUAAAAGCGCUGCGCAGUGUGUUGCCCCUCUCUUUCAGACCCUGGCUUCUGGCAAGAGAAAAUAUGGUGAAACUACAAAGACCAGAAAUCCUUUCGGUUUUCAACUUCCCUUGGAGCCAAGCCUGGGAGUGACACCCACUUCAUUCAAUUCCUGUGGUCGUGGGAACACUGGAAAGUGGUUUGUUUUCCCUUUUGUUACAUUCAGGAUUUCUUUGAUUGAAUCUUGUCUUCGCAAUAAUUACUGAUAAUACAAGUCUCGCCUUUAUUUUUUCCGUUAAUCUUGGAAUGCGGCUAAAAGAAGGAAGUGAACGAUUCAGAAUUAAUUGAGGGAUUACAGAAGUCACGAUUCAAUUCAAGACAUCGGGUCGAACACUACAAUCUUUGAAACAUUUGCAGUCGAGAAUUGGAGGGCAGUUAAUAAAUAUGCAAUUUCAUUCUUUUAUCUGCGGCCAUUCCCAUUGAUCAGAAUCAUUUAUUAAAAUUUUUAAAUUUUAUUAAACUAACAGAUAUCACUGUGGGAUUAUAUUGGCUACAUUUCUAAGGAAAAGUGACCCUCGUGCAUCAGGCAGUCAUCAGUGCUAAGGGAGCCCAGCUUUAUAAACUACAGUUGAAUUUGUUUCUGAAUGGGCGGGGAAGGAUUUCAUCUGGAAGCAAUGGGAAGAAAAGGGACUAAAUUUUUCAAAGAAGAAAAAGUAGAUGAAAGUUACCAUGUUGUGACCUGUAAUUUCACAUUGGGAGAGAUAAACGUGGAGUACUUCUCUGAGGACACUUUGGAUUACACUAAUUAGAAGGAACCUUAGGCUGCAGUUUGUGAAUGAAGUAGAGAGUUGGACAUUCUAUCUUUGUGAAUAAUUGAUGGAAUUUUGAUGGGGAAUUGCACUGGAACUGCAGAUCGCUUUUGUAAACUAUAGAAGCGGAUGUCUGUACCAAAGAUGAAAGAUGAGAUUUGAGCUUGAACUUCAUCAAAAUGCAGGUUACAUUGUGAAAACAAGGAAGAGCAGAUCACAGGAGGUAGACACGCAAAAAUAUGAAUCUCAAGAUCAUCCUAAGCAAGUCUAUGAACUGACUGAGUCCAUUUCAAAGGAAAGAACAUGUCAUUACUGGCACAAAACCUGUGCAAGUUUGGAUCUGUUAACCUUCUGUCAUGGGAAGCAGAGAAGGGCUCAUGAACACCAUAGUAGAAACUUUAUGACAGCUUGGCUUUGUACAAAUUUGGCAAUUAUUCUACAGGUGAGUAACACUCUUCCUCCAAAUAUUUAAGGUUCUCCUUUCUUUAUGUAAAAGCUUAACCUUCCAUCUAUAUCUUGUUUUUCCAAUUAUAAUUGAUAGAUAAUAUGUUUCAGUACUUCUAAAUUCAAAUGUGAGUUUUUUUUUAAUUUGAUAUAUUUUCUCUAAUUCUCAAUGUCAGCAUAAAAAAAUUGAAAUUUGAAGUCAAUAUACCUAAAUUAUUCUCUGUCACUGGAAUUUAUGAAACUGGUGCUUUAGAGAAGGGGAAAUGUCAGGCUAUGAUUUAAUCAGUGGAGAUCCUUAGGAGUCAGGGUGAUUAUGGAACCUAAGAAAGAAAAAUGUCCCAGACUAUAUAACUUGGCCUGACAGCUCAAUAUCUUUAUACUAUAAUUUAUGUCCAUGUUGUCUCCAAAUAAUAACACAGCUUAUGGACAAAGAGAGAAAUUUAGAUACCCUCACAUGAUUGUGAGAAAAUUGUCAGUCAUUCAUUUUGACAUUUCUUCCUGUAUAGGAUGUUUUUCUUUAUACUGUCAUUAAUUUCCAACCAUAGCUAAGUCUUGGAGAAUGUGGUGCAUAUAAUGAGGUUUUAUAGUUUUGUGUCAGUCCAUCAGGUCUUAUGUUACAGUCCUUGAACCAUUUGCAGUCGAGUUUAAGAUGGUAAUCGAUAAAGAUAUAUUUUCAUUCUUCUAUCUACAGUUUUCCAGGUUAAUAAGAAGCAUUUAGUAUGUUUUUCAUUUUUUUUAAAUGACUGUAUCAAUAUAGGAUUAUACAUUAUUCAUCCUUUCUAUUCAACUGAUCAAUGUAAUAUAUUGUUAUGACAUUUAAGUCGUAUCAUUUUAAAGUAGUAUCAUUGUUGUGUAUGAAGACUAUCAAAUUUUCUGCGUUAAACUCUAAUCCUAUCAACUUUGUGGGUGAAACAGUAACAAGAGAUUUCUAGUUGAAAAUUAAGGAUAACAUAUAUAUAUAUAUAUAUAUGUAUAUAUAUAAAAACAUCAUAUUCAAAUGAAGAUAACUUAACAUUCCCAUCUGUAUCACAUUUUACUUCUUCAACAUUUUUCUAUCGAUAAUUCUUGCAUUCCCUAAUACUGUGAUAAGUAAUGGAAUGAAUUUGUCUUGUUCCAAAGUAUUAUCAUUAAUACAUGUCUCCACUUACUAAAAUUUUGGCUUUUGUUAUAUAUUACCUAUAUUAAGUCAAUAUAUGUUCUCUAUAUCCUUACCAGUGGUAAUAUUUCUGAAAAAAUAAUUUGACACUUGCUCAUCCAGCAGCCAUCGAUGUUAAUUUCAUAUGAUCAAACUAUUGUCUCACUUCAUGAUUGAGAGAAGACGAUGCAUUUACUCACGGUAGGAACUGGAAGCAGGCGCUUAAACAGAAGUGUUGUUGCUGCUUACCAGUUUUCUUCCUGUGGGUAGUUCAGAAUCCUUCCUAAUACACACCAGGAUCACCUAAACAGGGACUAAAUUUUUCAAAGAAGAAAAAGUAGAUGAAAGUUACCAUGUUGUGACCUGUAAUUUCACAUUGGGAUUGAUAAACGUGGAGUACUUCUCUGAGGACACUUUGGAUUACACUAAUUAGAAGGAACCCUAGUCUGCAGUUUGUGAGUAUGUAUCAAAAAGUCACCAAAAGAAGUGAGUUUAAAUGAUGAUAUAAAUGAACAAAUAACUAAUUUAUCUGAGAUGUAAGUAGAGUAAAAUAUUUUCCAGUAACUAAAUAUUACAUGUUUGAACAAAAGGACAAUACAAAUCAAAUCAAUCAAAUGACUUUUAUGCUUUUCAAACCAUUGACACAUAGGAAUGUUGCUCUAAAUAGGAUGUAUACCCAGUGUGUUAUAGUUCCUGAGUUGAAAUCCCAGUGUUUCAGUGAAAAAAUAAUUUGACUCAUCAGUGAGCUGGCAGGUUAUAUAAAAUGAACUCUAGUAAAAACAAAGUUCCAUCCUGGAGUGUAUCAGAGCAGAAUGACUUGCACAAUUUUGCUCUGACCAAUAGAAAUGUAUCCUCUGAAGACUAACUUAAUUAAAUGUUAGUACCUAAAGAUGUAUCAAUAUGGAAUCUGUAUUAGUUUUUGAUUUACUAAUUUUUGAAAAUUGAUUUUUUUCAGACCAUAUAUUCUAAUCCCUCCUUACUUUGUUCUCCCUGAUAAUUUCUACCUCUACAUUGAUCUAAUUCCUCAUGUUCUCAUCCCACCCCUUAGAAAACAUGAAAAAAACAUAACCAUACGCAAACAGAACAAUCAAAGGAAUCAUGAAAUAUAAGAAAAAACACCAGAAGCACAUAGACACAUAUUUAUACAUGCUCACAGAGAAAAGCCCAGGAAAUUAUUAAAUUGUCAGUCAUAAUGUAUCAGAAAAUUACCAGCAUGGUUAAAAUAUAGUAAAUUAUGAAUCAAAAAAUUCAAACUUACCAUUGAUUUAUAUAAGUUAGAAUGAAGCCUUUGCUUGAGUGUGGAUUCUAUUCCUAUGAAACCGUACUGGAAAAAGUAGUUUUUAUAUUGGAAAAUGUGUUAAAUGGAGAGAGCUUCUUAGUGAGGUAGAUCAUAUUCAUUUUCCACUACUUGUGGUUGGACCUCCAAUAAUUUUGACCUGCAAAACCUGUGCAGAACCUGCACAUGGUUUCCUGGUUUAUAUGAGUCGAUAUGUGUAUCAGUCCUGCUCUAUCUGGACAUCAUUACUGACUUGCUUGCAUUCCUCCAGCACCACAGUGCCUUAUAAUAUUUCUACUGUGUCUUUUACAAAUCUUUCCUGAGCCAUGAAGGAAGAGAUAGGACAGCAGUGUAUCAUUUAUGAGAGUGUGAUCCAAAGUCUUUCACUCUGUAUAUUGUGCAGACAUGGUUCUCUUUACUUAGCCCAAUCUAUUGUAUAUGCUAGCUUUUGUGAUGACAGUAGAGCAAUAUACUGAUCUAUGCAUAUAACAGAAUGUUAUUAGGAAUCAUUUUGUAGCGACAUUUCUAUAGCAGGUAAUAAUACCUACCGUAAGCCUUAAACUCCAGUAUUUAGUCAUGAGAACAAUGGUAGAAAUGUGUUCUGUCUCACUGUGUAUGUCUCAAAUCCAGUCAGAUAGUGGUUUCUUACUCCCUUGAAAGCACCACUAUUGCAGCAGCUUAUCUUAUAGGCAGCUGACUGCGGUAGAUCAAAUAGUAUAGAGGUUGGUUGGCAUUUAAGUUUCUGCUCAGUAACCAUGCAGAAUUCAUUUCAGUAUGAGCAACACAAUUCAAAAGGUAAAGGUUUUAGUUAGGCACCUGCUUGUCUUCUCUACGUUCAAAAGAAA
rnacentral:sRNA from 1 species